GUUGGUGGAGUGAUUUGUCUGGUUAAUUCCGAUAACGAACGAGACCUCAGCCUGCUAAAUAGUUAUGCGAAUUCUUUAUGAAUUCGUGAUUAACUUCUUAGAGGGACAUUUGGAUUUCAGCCAAAGGAAGUUUGAGGCAAUAACAGGUCU
rnacentral:rRNA from 1 species